AGUGAACGCCGGCGGUAGGCCUAACACAUGCAAGUCGAACGGCAGCACAGGAGAGCUUGCUCUCUAGGUGGCGAGUGGCGGACGGGUGAGGAAUACAUCGGAAUCUGCCCAGUCGUGGGGGAUAACGUAGGGAAACUUACGCUAAUACCGCAUACGACCUUCGGGUGAAAGAGGGGGAUCGCAAGACCUCUCGCGAUUGGAUGAGCCGAUGUCGGAUUAGCUAGUUAGCGGGGUAAUGGCCCACCAAGGCGACGAUCCGUAGCUGGUCUGAGAGGAUGAUCAGCCACACUGGAACUGAGACACGGUCCAGACUCCUACGGGAGGCAGCAGUGGGGAAUAUUGGACAAUGGGCGCAAGCCUGAUCCAGCCAUACCGCGUGGGUGAAGAAGGCCUUCGGGUUGUAAAGCCCUUUUGUUGGGAAAGAAAUCUUUCAGGCUAAUACCCUGGGAGGAUGACGGUACCCAAAGAAUAAGCACCGGCUAACUUCGUG
rnacentral:rRNA from 1 species